rnacentral:rRNA from 1 species
CUACGGGGGGCUGCAGUGGGGAAUAUUGGACAAUGGGCGAAAGCCUGAUCCAGCCAUGCCGCGUGUGUGAAGAAGGCCUUCGGGUUGUAAAGCACUUUCAGUGGGGAAGAAAGCCUUGGGGCUAAUACCCUCGAGGAAGGACAUCACCCACAGAAGAAGCACCGGCUAACUCCGUGCCAGCAGCCGCGGUAAUACGGAGGGUGCGAGCGUUAAUCGGAAUUACUGGGCGUAAAGCGCGCGUAGGCGGUCUGAUAAGCCGGUUGUGAAAGCCCCGGGCUCAACCUGGGAACGGCAUCCGGAACUGUCAGGCUAGAGUGCAGGAGAGGAAGGUAGAAUUCCCGGUGUAGCGGUGAAAUGCGUAGAGAUCGGGAGGAAUACCAGUGGCGAAGGCGGCCAUCUGGACUGACACUGACGCUGAGGUGCGAAAGCGUGGGUAGCAAACAGGAUUAGAUACCCCGGUAGUC